AACCCCGGGAAACUGGGGAUAAUUCCGGAUAACGCACAUAUGCUGGAAUGCUUUAUGCGUAAAAUGGAUUCGUCUGCCCAAGGAUGGGUCUGCGGCCUAUCAGGUAGUAGUGGGUGUAAUGUACCUACUAGCCAACAACGGGUACGGGUUGUGAGAGCAAGAGCCCGGAGAUGGAUUCUGAGACAUGAAUCCAGGCCCUACGGGGCGCAGCAGGCGCGAAAACUUUACAAUGCGGGAAACCGUGAUAAGGGGACACCGAGUGCCAGCAUCAUAUGCUGGCUGUCCAGGUGUGUAAAAUACACCUGUCAGCAAGGGCCGGGCAAGACCGGUGCCAGCCGCCGCGGUAACACCGGCGGCCCGAGUGGUGAUCGUGAUUAUUGGGUCUAAAGGGUCCGUAGCCGGUUUGGUCAGUCCUCCGGGAAAUCUGACGGCUUAACCGUUAGGCUUUCGGGGGAUACUGCCAGGCUUGGAACCGGGAGAGGUAAGAGGUACUACAGGGGUAGGAGUGAAAUCUUGUAAUCCCUGUGAGACCACCUGUGGCGAAGGCGUCUUACCAGAACGGGUUCGACGGUGAGGGACGAAAGCUGGGGGCACGAACCGGAUUAGAUACCCGGGUAGUCCCAGCCGUAAACGAUGCUCGCUAGGUGUCAGGCAUGGCGCGACCGUGUCUGGUGCCGCAGGGAAGCCGUGAAGCGAGCCACCUGGGACGUCCGCCCGCAAGG
rnacentral:rRNA from 1 species